AACGAACUAUAUUAUAUCUACUUUUGAGAUUAGGUCCGAAAGUUUGCUACCCACAAAAUAUUAAUUUUGGAGAGAUUGGUUUUCAUUUUAUUUUUUAAAGGUGAACAUUAAUUCAUAGUGCUUCAGGAUAUUGUUUUGUUUAAACAUUUUGUUUUGAGCUAUAAUUGGCAGCCCUGCUUAUUGCAUUUGAACAAAGUUUAUUUAUUUUGUGAUGACAAAGGAGUGGAGAAAUUGAAAAUUUUAGAAAUAUUAGUCGUGAUGGGAGGAAUUUUGAAAUUUGUUUGGAUGAGAAAAUUGAAAUGAAAAGGAAUGAUGAAAGCAGGACAAGGACUUCUUUUAUGGAAAUAUGAGAAAAUAUAUAAGAUCAUGUGGUAGCUCAUAGUUAAUGCAUGGGGACACUGCAUAAUGUUUAGUCGUCUGCAUAUUUUAUAAAGACAAGAUGAGAACUGAUGCGGGGCAGGUACCUUUAAAAGGAUUCCCUGUUCAGAAACACAAGAAUUAAGUUGAAUGUUCCACUUGGUAAUAAUGAAAAUCACUUUAGAAAGUUCUAAGUUAAUAAUUUGGUAGUCAAUAAUCCGACUUAAGUGUUAGGUUGGCAACCUAGUUGAUCUGUCAAGGUUGUUAGUAUCUUCAAUUAAUAAUAUUGGCUUAGCAUUAUAAUUAACAUAAUGCGUAUUGAGAUGAGUUGUCUUACUCAAAUCAAGUCACACAGUUAACCCUAUUUGGUCAAACCUCUAGUUGAGUUGAAUUUUCGAUCCUUUAGGUUAAUUUGAACAUGCCUAAGCCUGGUAGACUGAAACUGAAUGAUUGGCAACUCUAAUAGAAUUUCACGAUUAAUAGUCCCCCUACAUGUGUGAUGUUGAAGGACAGAGAUAGUUGGCUUCAAUGCAUUAGCUGUAUUAUUGUUGCUUUGAUUUUGCUGCAUGCCACUGAUUCUUGGGUAUUUUAGCUGAAAGGCUACAUGGAAAAGGAGGAGAGAAAAAUCCUGAUUCUGGAGGAAGAUAAAGCCUCUUAUUAGUUGGCAUGGUCAAGACAUCAUGACUUGGAGUGAGUGCAAAUGUAUCCACUCCCAGCACUUGACAACCGAGAAUCAACCUCUUCACAAAAAUGUGGGGGAAGGGCCUUCUACACUGGGUAUGACCUUUAUAUAUUUGACUGGAAAGUGGUGUCACAAUCCUCCCUGUUAUACCCUAUCAUCAUAGAUGAUUGACAGCGUAUCUUUACAAAAUCAUGCAAACUAUUUACGAAUUCUGAUUGGUGUUCAUUGAAGAGCCUCUGAUGCUUCUUAUUUCAUUAUUGGGAUCUAAUUUAUGUCCUUCACCAAUGAAUAUAUUCUUAUCCUCUUUGCAAGCCACUGAUUUCGUGGAACAUCCACUUGUUUGUUGGCUUUACAUAAUAAAAAUUGUUUCAGUUUUAGAUUGCCUUAUAAAAUGUCGAGGUAACACAUUGCAUAUAUAAUUAAAUUGUAGCAAUUUUAUUUUAAAAGUAAUAGAGCAUUCUUGAGUGACUCAUGAAGCAAAAAAU